GACGAACGCUGGCGGCGUGCUUAACACAUGCAAGUCGAACGGAAAGGCCCCUUUGGGGGUACUCGAGUGGCGAACGGGUGAGUAACACGUGAGUAACCUGCCCUUGACUUCGGGAUAACUUCAGGAAACUGGGGCUAAUACCGGAUAGGAAUCCUUGCUGCAUGGUGGGGGUUGGAAAGCUUCGGCGGUUUUGGAUGGACUCGCGGCUUAUCAGCUUGUUGGUGGGGUAGUGGCUUACCAAGGCUUUGACGGGUAGCCGGCCUGAGAGGGCGACCGGCCACAUUGGGCUGGAGAUAGGGCCAAGACUCCUCCGGGAGGCAGAAGGGGGAAUAUUGCACAAUGGGCGGAAGCCUGAUGCAGCAACGCCGCGUGCGGGAUGACGGCCUUCGGGUUGUAAACCGCUUUCAGCAGGGGCGAAGCUUGUGGUGACGGUACCUGCAGAAGAAGCACCGGCUAACUACGUG
rnacentral:rRNA from 1 species